GACUGUUUACAACUUCAUUAUUUUUUAAAGAAGGCAUUUUGUGCGAUUUCACAUCUGGUUACCAUCUACACACAUACUCGAAAGCCCAGCACUUAGAAAAAAGAUUAUGUCAGCAAGAUUCAACUAGCUGCCACUGAAUUGCCGUCAUACAAACAUGAAAACAAUUGUCAAUUUUACUUCCGGUUUGCUUCGCGUAAAGAUGCCGUUGACUUAUCAAAAUGAAAUUGAUGGCACUUGAAAUAUACCCCGGUACUUUAUCCUGACAACAUGACUGGUCACUGGAUGAGAUUAGCCCACCAGUCUUCUGCUCCUUGGAAUUCUGAAGGCUGGUUCGUCAGGUGAAAGACAGCAGUGAACACGUCACAUUUAAUACAAAUUUAAAAUGUGUAUUGUAAUAUCUUCACCAGACUUGUAAGUGUGUACUCGGUCCGGUCAGUCCGAGCGAUACAAAUGCAAAUAAAAUUGAUCAAAACUGCA